UACGUAGGGUCCGAGCGUUGUCCGGAAUUAUUGGGCGUAAAGGGCUCGUAGGCGGUUUGUCACGUCGGGAGUGAAAACACGGGGCUUAACCCCGUGCCUGCUUCCGAUACGGGCAGACUAGAGGUAUGCAGGGGAGAACGGAAUUCCUGGUGUAGCGGUGAAAUGCGCAGAUAUCAGGAGGAACACCGGUGGCGAAGGCGGUUCUCUGGGCAGUAACUGACGCUGAGGAGCGAAAGCGUGGGGAGCGAACAGG
rnacentral:rRNA from 1 species